UAGGGUUUCACAUUUCACUCUCCUCCUUAGCCGUCAUACCCAAUAUUCACACAUUUCACUCUCUUCCUUACCCGUCACAUUUCACUCAAUCUCUCUCUUCUCCUCACUUAAUCUCCUCCAUUUUUAAUUCCUCUCUGUGGAUAUAUGAUCUUCUCCUCACUCAAUUGGAAAAGGAAGAAGGAUUAAGGAUCUGUUCUGUGGAUUAAGCUCGAUUGUGCAGAAGAGUGACAAUCUGAAGAAAGCCGACGCCGAUAAGAAGAAAAUCCGGCGAUCAUCAGCCAGAUCUCUGCAAAGCAGCGGCAGCGAUACUCCUCCUUGGGUACGACGACGAGUUUGCGAAAAUCAUGUCUAAGGAUGCCCUGUAAUUUGUAGCGCAUGGUUCAAUGAUAUUGGAGUGGAAUCCUUGAAAUUCGAAUUGAGCACAAUAAGAUCUGCAACCAGUAGUUUUUUCAGAAGAUAGAAAGCUUGGAGAAGGUGGAUUUGGUGAAGUGUGCAGGUCUGUUUGGACAGAAAUCAUGACUCGUUGCUAAAAAGGGUGGAAGAUAUGGCUGUACAAAAUUUGUUAAGCAAGCUUCAUCAAGACAGCAUAAAAUUCUAUCUUUCCAGUUCUUAGUCUACUAUGGAAUAUAAACUUGUUUAAAUUUUCAUGUUGUAUUACGGAGUAUUAUUUAUGCAGUAGCUUUUGACUCAUGUUUGAGUUGUUGUAAAGUCAAUUUGGACAUUUGUGAAAGUUGUAUUAAUUUAUAAUUAAAUAUUGAUAAUUUGUUUUUUGAAAUCAAUUAAAUAUCAAUAAUAGUAAUUAAAGAUUUG